UUUGCCUACGGGACGCAGCAGUGGGGAAUAUUGCACAAUGGGGGAAACCCUGAUGCAGCAACGCCGCGUGAGUGAGGAAGUAUUUCGGUAUGUAAAGCUCUAUCAGCAGGGAAUAGAAAAGAAGGUACCUGAAAAAGAAGCCCCGGCUAACUACGUGCCAGCAGCCGCGGUAAUACGUAGGGGGCAAGCGUUAUCCGGAUUUACUGGGUGUAAAGGGAGCGUAGACGGAAAGGCAAGUCAGAAGUGAAAGCCCAAGGCUCAACCAUGGGACUGCUUUUGAAACUGUUUUUCUUGAGUACCGGAGA
rnacentral:rRNA from 1 species